UACGGAGGGUGCGAGCGUUGUCCGGAAUCAUUGGGCGUAAAGGGCGCGUAGGUGGCCCGGUCAGUCUUUGGUGAAAGCGCGGGGCUCAACCCUGCGUCGGCCAGGGAUACUGCCGCGGCUCGAGCACUGUAGAGGCAGGCGGAAUUCCGGGUGUAGCGGUGGAAUGCGUAGAGAUCCGGAAGAACACCGGUGGCGAAGGCGGCCUGCUGGGCAGUUAGCUGACACUGAGGCGCGACAGCGUGGGGAGCAAACAGG
rnacentral:rRNA from 1 species